CUUCUAUGAAGAUACGAUGACGAGUCGGAAGAGGACGUGCCUUGUCCCUGGGGUGCUGCGCAGGGCUACGUUCUGUAUCCCUGUGUCCUGGCCUCAGAGGCAGGGUCUCCUCAUUGCUUGAAGACAUUGAGGCAUUUGUCUGAGAAGG
ensembl:snoRNA SNORD15 Small nucleolar RNA SNORD15